AUUCUCACUUGGGCAGCACAUAUAAUAAAAUUGGAACGAUACAUAGAAGAUUAGCAUGGCCCCUGCACAAGAAUGACACACAAAUUCAUGAAACAUUCCAUAUUUUA
rnacentral:snRNA from 1 species